rnacentral:rRNA from 1 species
GUGCCAGCAGCCGCGGUAAGACGAACCGUGCGAACGUUGUUCGGAUUCACUGGGCUUAAAGGGCGCGUAGGCGGGUGCUCAAGUCCGGGGUGAAAUCCUCCAGCUCAACUGGAGAAUAGCCUUGGAUACUGGGCACCUCGAGUGAGGUAGGGGCGGGCGGAACUUCCGGUGGAGCGGUGAAAUGCGUAGAUAUCGGAAGGAACGCCGGUGGCGAAAGCGGCCCGCUGGACCUCUUCUGACGCUGAGGCGCGAAAGCCAGGGGAGCAAACGGGAUUAGAUACCCCAGUAGUCC